UGAAGACCUGGAGGAGGGGCAGCGGUACUGUGUUCAGGUGGCCUAUACGGUCCACGGGGACCUCGUGGAACCACGCAGCUGCAUCCAGUGUGAGGUCAUCCCUGCAUCAGAACACGUGAACAGGACGCCGAUGAUCGUGGGGCUGCUCGUCGGCAUCGUGGUCCUCGCCAUUCUUGCAUUGGGAUACCUCGGGUUUUUCCAAACUGAGAAAAUCAAAUGCUGCCUACACUAACCAUGGUAUGCCUCACCGAUUCAGUGAGAGUCGUGUUUCCCAGGCUGCUAAUGGUGACAUCCAGAAGCCUUCAGCAGGCAGCAGGUAGAGGACGUUCAAGAAGCUGUGCUGCUGUCCAAGACGACGUCUUACUUCUUAAACCUAAACACACAAACUUCUCAAAACAGAGUCUGAUGGAGGACUUUAUUAUGGCAGAGCUUGUGUGUUUCCUACAAACUGGACUAUCAGAUGAAUGAGUUUUCGGAUUAUUUUCGUGGGCUGCUGGGAUGUAUGCGUUUGGACCGUGAUGAGGGGAAAACAAGAUUUCUGAAGUGACGUAAUAGGAUAGGUUAAAAAAGCUGAUAUUGGAGUCUGCUCAACUGCAGGAGGAGGACGUCUCCUGAGAAGCAGUUUAGAGGAUUCUGACUCUUACAGUAACUUGUACUGUGUACUAGCUAGCAUGACAGAGUUUCUAUACAGUUGGGUGGGUGCUAUGAUGUU